GGAAUAUUGGUCAAUGGGCGCAAGCCUGAACCAGCCAUGCCGCGUGCAGGACGACGCAUCUAUGGUGUGUAAACUGCUUUUAUACGGGAAGAAACAACUCUACGUGUAGAGUCUUGACGGUACCGUAAGAAUAAGGAUCGGCUAACUCCGUGCCAGCAGCCGCGGUAAUACGGAGGAUCCAAGCGUUAUCCGGAAUCAUUGGGUUUAAAGGGUCCGUAGGCGGCCCUGUAAGUCAGUGGUGAAAUCUCCCCGCUCAACGGGGAAACGGCCAUUGAUACUGCAGGGCUUGAAUUAUUGGGAAGUAACUAGAAUAUGUAGUGUAGCGGUGAAAUGCUUAGAUAUUACAUGGAAUACCGAUUGCGAAGGCAGGUUACUACCAAUACAUUGACGCUGAUGGACGAAAGCGUGGGUAGCGAACAGGAUUAGAUACCCUAG
rnacentral:rRNA from 1 species